rnacentral:rRNA from 1 species
AAUAGAUACCCCGGUAGUCCACGCCGUAAACGAUGAGUGCUAGGUGUUAGGGGUUUCGAUGCCCGUAGUGCCGAAGUUAACACAUUAAGCACUCCGCCUGGGGAGUACGGCCGCAAGGCUGAAACUCAAAGGAAUUGACGGGGGCCCGCACAAGCAGUGGAGCAUGUGGUUUAAUUCGAAGCAACGCGAAGAACCUUACCAGGUCUUGACAUCCUUUGACCACUCUGGAGACAGAGCUUCCCCUUCGGGGGCAAAGUGACAGGUGGUGCAUGGUUGUCGUCAGCUCGUGUCGUGAGAUGUUGGGUUAAGUCCCGCAACGAGCGCAACCCUUGACCUUAGUUGCCAGCAUUUAGUUGGGCACUCUAAGGUGACUGCCGGUGACAAACCGGAGGAAGGUGGGGAUGACGUCAAAUCAUCAUGCCCCUUAUGACCUGGGCUACACACGUGCUACAAUGGAUGGUACAAAGGGUUGCGAAGCCGCGAGGUGAAGCCAAUCCCAUAAAGCCAUUCUCAGUUCGGAUUGUAGG